UGGGGAAUAUUGGACAAUGGGCGAAAGCCUGAUCCAGCCAUGCCGCGUGUGUGAAGAAGGCCUUUUGGUUGUAAAGCACUUUAAGUGGGGAGGAAAAGCUUAUGGUUAAUACCCAUAAGCCCUGACGUUACCCACAGAAUAAGCACCGGCUAACUCUGUGCCAGCAGCCGCGGUAAUACAGAGGGUGCAAGCGUUAAUCGGAAUUACUGGGCGUAAAGCGCGCGUAGGUGGUUAUUUAAGUCAGAUGUGAAAGCCCCGGGCUUAACCUGGGAACUGCAUCUGAUACUGGAUAACUAGAGUAGGUGAGAGGGGAGUAGAAUUCCAGGUGUAGCGGUGAAAUGCGUAGAGAUCUGGAGGAAUACCGAUGACGAAGGCAGCUCCCUGGCAUCAUACUGACACUGAGGUGCGAAAGCGUGGGUAGCAAACAGGAUUAGAUACCCUGGUAGUCCACGCCGUAAACGAUGUCCACCAGUCGUUGGGUCUUUUAAAGACUUAGUGACGCAGUUAACGCAAUAAGUAGACCGCCUGGGGAGUACGGCCGCAAGGUUA
rnacentral:rRNA from 1 species